UCAGAGAAAGACCAGCCAAAAAAGAGAACUACAGGCCAAUCUCCCUAGCACAGUGUGGAAUACAGAGGAAACUUAACAUAGUCACUACCCUAAAAAAAAUUAAGAUGGAUAGGCAAGUGAGUAUUGAGGCAAACCUCCUAGUUGCUAACGCUUGUAGGAAUUCACUGGGAGGUCGCAGUUGGUAGACCUCGUGGACUGUGGGUUACCCCUUAAGAGCGUUCCUUAUGACUCCCAUUUAUUGCACCUCCUAGGAGCAGUAUAUUUUCAUCCAUGAUGCCCUGCUGGAGGCCAUUCUUGGGAAUGAAACUGAAGUAUCUUCAAAUCAGCUGCAUAGCUAUGUUAACAGCAUCCUUAUACCCGGAGGAGGAGCAAAGACACAACUGGAGAAAUAAUUCAAGCUCAUCACACUAAUGCAACCUAUAUGGAAUGUGUCAGUGCUCAGAAGGAGUGUAACAAAGAAAAGAACAGAAACUCUUCAGUUGUACCAUGGAUAUUACAGGAGCAAUGAAUUUAUUACAACCCAGCAUCCUCUGCCACAUACUAUGAAAGAUUUCUGGCGAAUGAUUUGGGAUCAUAAUGCACAGAUCAUUGUCAUGCUGCCAGACAACCAGAGCUUG